CUAAAGUAUAAGGAAGAAGGCGACAAGGAGAUGCUGGGACGGUGUGUGAUGUAACAGGUAAAGGAUUUAUGGAGUCGCCUGGAGAUCCUGUCUGCCAGUUCCACGUCACAUUCGAGGACGACCUUACGAUUUCAGUAUUUCUUAUGUUAUUUGUAGUUUGGGUUUUGUACUUGUUUAUGUAUUUGUAUUCUCUUGUAUUUGGAUUGAUAUUAUUGUGUCAAGCCGAGCCGGCUCGCAGUCA